rnacentral:rRNA from 1 species
CAGCGCCAUGAGUGGCAAUCAGAAUUAUUGGGCCUAAAGCGUCCGUAGCCGGUUUGAUAAGUCUUUUGUGAAAUCGUUGUGCUUAACAUAACGUUGUGCAAGAGAUACUGUCUAACUUGGAACCGGGAGGAGUCAGAGGUAUUCUAAGGGGAGCGGUAAAAUGCUAUAAUCCUUGGAGGACCACCUGUGGCGAAAGCGUCUGACUAGAACGGCUUCGACGGUGAGGGACGAAAGCCAGGGGAGCGAACCGGAUUAGAUACCCGAGUAGUCC